rnacentral:misc_RNA from 1 species
GGGUGGUUAUGAUUACAAGAUGAAUGAAACAGUCAAUGUUGUCGCAACAAAAACAACUGAGAUUGGACAGAAGGGCUGGGGUAUAAUGAAGGGGGUCUUAGCUUUAGCUUCACAGAAGGUUGAGGAAUUUGCUGAGGGUCCAAACCCGAGGGACGAUAGCUGGCAACGAAGUGAAAAUGAACGAAACGGCCAUUAUAAGGAAUCCAGUCAGGCAUCUAAAGGAUGGAAUUCUUCUGGAGGAGCACAAUCAUCUGGUAGGCAGGCCAAUGCGGUCAGUUCAGCGUCCUGGGAUGACUGGGAUAGUAAAGACAACAAGAAAGAAAAUCCUACCGGAGGGGCCACAUCCAGUAAUGACGAUGGCUGGGCUGGUUGGGAUGAUGGUAAAGAUGAUGGAUUUGAUAAUUUCCAAAGGGCACCUAACAAUAAACAUGUCGCUCAUGGUGGAAAAUCAGAGUCCAAAUGGACUGAUGGAGGUUUCCUCUAAGAGUAGCAGAUGCCACAACUUCUGGUAAUUCUUUUCCCUUCCAAAUUUGAUUUCAUCAAGAUUUACAUCUUGGAAGGAUUCGUCUCUGAAACUUGUUGAUGUAUGUAGCAUUACGAACAUGAUUGGUCAAUUGCCUCUCAGGUAAAAGAAACAAGGAACGAAGGCAACAGAACAAACUGUUCUGAUGCCCAUUAUUUUUCAAGGUUACAACUUUUAGGUUACAUUUGGAUUUGUAAUGACCAUAGUUGCAUUUACUAUUUUUCUGCAUUUUGGUCGUGUAUUUAGGUGACCGUCUUUAAUCGU